CUCUCUCAACUCUCUCUCUCUCUCUCUCUCUCUCUAAACCCUCAUUCUCACAUCAGAACCCUGCCACCGUCUUUGUCGCUCUCGACUUCAACGGCGAUUCAUCGAUUUUAAAGUGAGAUUGUCGGAGAAAUUCGAUAUGAAUUUAAUCUGGGUGUUGUUACUGUUAGUCGCUCUGUUCAGAAUCCGAUUAGGGUUUGAUGUUGAAUUUGAAUUGGGAUGCUCCAACAAGAUCAACAAAAGUCUUGAAAAUCAACAGCCAGGUGAGUUCGUUUGUUCAAGGAUUCAAUGUUUAUUGAUUUUUCAAAUGCUUCCACUGUCGUCACCACCAGCUGCACCGCCAUAGACCACCGCCACCAACUAAGCCACAUCAGCUUAAUUGGGUUUGCUGAUCUGGAUUGAUAACCAAGAUUAUGUACUCCUUGACUCAAUUUGACAACUACCCACCGACCACCAGCUAAGCCAUCAGUUCAAUUUCACCACCGUAUCAUAUCUUUGUGCGAUUUUUGUUUAAGAAAUUAAGGAUUACUUUUUUUUAUUUUUUGGUUUUGCAAAGUUAAUAGAUACAGAAAAGAGGAUGAAGACGAUAGAUGACGUCAUCCAAAUCUGAAACUGCAGCAGUACAUUAGAACUUUUAAUCAGGAGGCUAUGGUAUUCUCGUGUACCAAUGGUUGAAUACAGACCAGAGCACCAACUGGCAGCAACGAGUUUAAGCUCAACACCUCAAAUUACCAUAGUAUCUAUUGUAUUUGAUUUUGUAGAAA